GUCUACGGCCAUACCACCCUGAAUGCGCCUGAUCUUGUCUGAUCUUGGAAGCUAAGCAGGGUCAGGCCUUGCUAGUACUUGGAUGGGAGAGAUGAGGAUGAACAUG
rfam:Homo sapiens chromosome 3, GRCh38 reference primary assembly.